AUAAGUAGCAACUGAGUAUAGGUAUUGUAUUAACUGGGUUAUAAUGUUACCUAUCACUAAUAUAGCUCAUAACUGAACUGAGGAACGAGGUUCAGUUGUAACGCUAUUUAUAAUAUUUCUAAAUAGUUGUUAUCAACGGGUAUCUAUGUAUAUAGACGGAUAGUUACCCGUGAUUAUCAAUAAACGGAUCUUAGCUAGUAUUCCAACAUAUGACAUAUAGUGAUACGCAAC
rnacentral:lncRNA from 1 species